rnacentral:rRNA from 1 species
CAGUCGCCGCGGGAAUACGUAGGUCCCGAGCGUUGUCCGGAUUUAUUGGGCGUAAAGCGAACGCAGGCGGUUAGAUAAGUCUGAAGUUAAAGGCUGUGGCUUAACCAUAGUACGCUUUGGAAACUGUUUAACUUGAGUGCAAGAGGGGAGAGUGGAAUUCCAUGUGUAGCGGUGAAAUGCGUAGAUAUAUGGAGGAACACCGGUGGCGAAAGCGGCUCUCUGGCUUGUAACUGACGCUGAGGCUCGAAAGCGUGGGGAGCAAACAGGAUUAGAUACCCCCGUAGUCCCUGUCUCUUAUACA